GAGUGUCCAGCUAGACUACCUAUCGAGGCAACUGGAUCAGCUAUCAUCGAGAUACCAAGGUCGCGGGGUACUCAAAGUAUCAUACGACCCACCAAAGAGCAUUUAU